GCCAUUCACAAGACCACAGCCACCAAUGACAAAAGGCUUCAAAGGACCUUGAAAAGGGUAGGAGUGAACACCGUUCUUGGUAUCAAAGAGAAUUGAGGAUCCACUUACACAUUUCUUCUAACAUUGGUGAUUCUUGAUUCCCCCGGUGUAAGAAUCCAUCACUUCAAACACCUGGGUUGUCAGUGGAACACCGUGGUCUAAAAAAAUGGACUUUCUAAAACCUGUAAUACAUGGUGUCCUGGGAAUUCCUGGCUAUUUACAGUUCACCUCCCC